rnacentral:rRNA from 1 species
UACACUCCUGCGGGAGGCAGCAGUGGGAAUUUUGGACAAUGGGCGAAAGCCUGAUCCAGCAAUGCCGCGUGCAGGAUGAAGGCCUUCGGGUUGUAAACUGCUUUUGUACGGAACGAAAAAGCUCCUUCUAAUACAGGGGGCCCAUGACGGUACCGUAAGAAUAAGCACCGGCUAACUACGUGCCAGCAGCCGCGGUAAUACGUAGGGUGCGAGCGUUAAUCGGAAUUACUGGGCGUAAAGCGUGCGCAGGCGGUUAUGUAAGACAGAUGUGAAAUCCCCGGGCUCAACCUGGGAACUGCAUUUGUGACUGCAUGGCUAGAGUACGGUAGAGGGGGAUGGAAUUCCGCGUGUAGCAGUGAAAUGCGUAGAUAUGCGGAGGAACACCGAUGGCGAAGGCAAUCCCCUGGACCUGUACUGACGCUCAUGCACGAAAGCGUGGGGAGCAAACAGGAUUAGAUACCCGGGUAGUCC